ensembl:lncRNA
AUGAAUAAAUAUUAUCCAUUAAAAACCUUUAAAAAGGUGCUGCGAUACACAGUGUUAUAUUUCCGUUUGCUCCGUGACUCGCUCCGGUGGCGCUGCUCCCUCAGCCGUGCGGCACGGUUCGUCCCGGGGGCGGCACGGUUCGUCCCGGGGCACGGCGGGUCCCGGGGCACGGUUCGUCCCGGGGCACGGUUCGUCCCGGGGCACGGCUGGCCCCGGGGGGCACGGCUGGCCCCGGGGCACGGUUCGUCCCGGGGCACGGCUGGUCCGGGGGUACGGCUGGUCCCGGGGGCGGCACGGUUCGUCCCGGGGCACGGUUCGUCCCGGGGCACGGUUCGUCCCGGGGGCACGGCGGGUCCCGGGGCACGGCGGGUCCCGGAGCCCGGCCCCGGCCCCGGUACCGGCACGGCGGCGUUCUGGUCCUGCAGCACUUUCCCCGGUGCCAUUCCCCGGUACCGGCACGGCGGCGUUCUCCCGGUUCCCCGGUCCCGGCAGCUCGGUCCCGGCACGGCGGCGUUGUUCCGGUUGUCCCGGUGCCCGCAGCCCGGUGCCGGUCCCGCUGCCGGUCCCGCUGCCGGUCCCGCUGCCGCAGCCCGGUGCCGGUCCCGCUGCCCGAUGCCGGUGCCGGUGUCGGUGCCCGGUGCCGGUGCCGGUCCCGCUGCCGCAGCCGGUCCCGCCGCCGCAGCCCUGUGCCGGUGCCGGUGCCGGUCCCGCAGCCGGUGCCGGUGCCGGUCCCGCAGCCAGUCCCGCAGCCGGUGCCGGUGCCCGCAGCCGGUGCCGGUCCCAGCCGCUGCCGCUGCCUCAGCCGGUUCCGGUGCCGGUCCCGCAGCCCGGUGCCCGCAGCCGGUGCCGGUGCCGCUGCCGGUCCCGGUGCCGGUCCCGCUGCCGGUCCCGCUGCUGCAGCCCGGUGCCGGUCCCGCAGCCGGUGCCGGUCCUGCAGCCCGGUCCCGCAGCCGGUACCGGUGCCAGUGCCGGUCCCGCAGCCGGUCCCGGUGCCGGUGCCGCCGCCGCAGCCCGGUGCCGCCGGGCCGGUCACAAGGCCGAGACCUUGACGACGCUGGCGGCGGCGCCGGGAGCGUUCGUGGCGGGGCUGCCCGGGCCGGGCCGGCUCUCGGCCUCGGGGGUCAGCGCCGGCGGCGUGGGGAUGCUGAUGAUGGCCGUGGUGAUCUGCGCGCCUUUGCAGUUCGGCCUCAGCCCGUCGUCCGCCUUCAUGUUGAGGCUGGAACGACUGGAAAACAAAUUUAG